ACUCCCUACGGGGCGCAGCAGUGGGGAAUAUUGCACAAUGGGGGAAACCCUGAUGCAGCGACGCCGCGUGAGUGAAGAAGUAUCUCGGUACGUAAAGCUCUAUCAGCAGGGAAGAAAAAAAGUCUUUGGCUUUGGACGGUACCUGACUAAGAAGCCCCGGCUAACUACGUGCCAGCAGCCGCGGUAAUACGUAGGGGGCAAGCGUUAUCCGGAUUUAUUGGGUUUAAAGGGUGCGCAGGCGGAAGAUCAAGUCAGCGGUAAAAUUGAGAGGCUCAACCUCUUCGAGCCGUUGAAACUGGUUUUCU
rnacentral:rRNA from 1 species